rnacentral:rRNA from 1 species
UACGGGGGGAGCAAGCGUUGUUCGGAUUCAUUGGGCGUAAAGGGUGCGUAGGUGGCGCUGUAAGUCGGGUGUGAAAUUUCGGAGCUUAACUCCGAAACUGCAUUCGAUACUGCGGUGCUUGAGAACUGGAGAGGAGACUGGAAUUCAUGGUGUAGCAGUGAAAUGCGUAGAGAUCAUGAGGAAGACCAGUGGCGAAGGCGGGUCUCUGGACAGUUCCUGACACUGAGGCACGAAGGCCAGGGGAGCAAACGGG